UACGUAGGGUGUAAGCGUUGUCCGGAAUUAUUGGGCGUAAAGAGCUCGUAGGCGGUUUGUCGCGUCUGCUGUGAAAACUCGGGGCUUAACCCCGGGCCUGCAGUGGGUACGGGCAGACUAGAGUGCGGUAGGGGAGACUGGAAUUCCUGGUGUAGCGGUGAAAUGCGCAGAUAUCAGGAGGAACACCGGUGGCGAAGGCGGGUCUCUGGGCCGUAACUGACGCUGAGGAGCGAAAGCAUGGGGAGCGAACAGG
rnacentral:rRNA from 1 species